CCUACGGGCGGCUGCAGCGGGGAAUAUUGCACAAUGGGCGCAAGCCUGAUGCAGCCAUGCCGCGUGUGUGAAGAAGGCCUUCGGGUUGUAAAGCACUUUCAGCGGGGAGGAAGGCGUUAAGGUUAAUAACCUUGGCGAUUGACGUUACCCGCAGAAGAAGCACCGGCUAACUCCGUGCCAGCAGCCGCGGUAAUACGGAGGGUGCAAGCGUUAAUCGGAAUUACUGGGCGUAAAGCGCACGCAGGCGGUCUGUCAAGUCGGAUGUGAAAUCCCCGGGCUCAACCUGGGAACUGCAUUCGAAACUGGCAGGCUAGAGUCUUGUAGAGGGGGGUAGAAUUCCAGGUGUAGCGGUGAAAUGCGUAGAGAUCUGGAGGAAUACCGGUGGCGAAGGCGGCCCCCUGGACAAAGACUGACGCUCAGGUGCGAAAGCGUGGGGAGCAAACAGGAUUAGAUACCCGGGUAGUC
rnacentral:rRNA from 1 species